AGUUUUGUGUGACACAUCAGACCCCUGAGCAGAACAGAGCCCACCUUAGGAAUCCUGGGCUCCUCUGAAUACUGGAUGCAAAGGAGCUCCAUCCCACAUGAAGAGAAAGAGCCAUAGCUGUCAACGUUUCCCUUUUUAAAAAGGGAAAUUCCCAUAUUCCGAAUAGGAUUCCUCGCAAGAAAAGGGAAAAGUUGACAGCUAUGGAGACAGCCUCUCUGGCCAAAGACAUUUCUCAACCUUGGAAUUCUGCUCUGUUGCAGAGAAGCCUGGGCAAUGUCCUGGGGCUCAGCCAGGUAUGGUCGGACCCUGCGUGGUGAACUGUGAGGAUGACUGGUCAUGCUCUGGAGCUCAGAAGUGCUGCGGGAGUUGCCCACGAGAUUGUGCUAAUCCUGUCAGAGAGAGGUCUGGAAGAUGCCCUAUACCACCUCAAGGUACUGUGACAACCUGUGAAUUACGGUGUAUGAAUGACUAUGAAUGCCCCUGGCCCAAGAAGUGCUGCAAAUAUGGGUGCAAGACAGACUGCUUCUACCCUGUCUAAGAGCCCUGAAAGAGGUCCAGCACCAAGGACAGCGCCCAGUCCUGACUUCUCCACAGGGGUCUCUGAGCUGGCCCUGGGAACUGAAGACCUCCUCCUGGAGCCAGCCGUCUCCCUGCUCCUUCUUCCUCCUCCUGGAGCCCAUUUCACUCAAGUUCCCCUUUGCUAUUUGCAAUAAAUAAACCUGGAUAUUUGCAC
rnacentral:lncRNA from 1 species